rnacentral:rRNA from 1 species
GAUGAACGCUGGCGGCGUGCCUAAUACAUGCAAGUCGAGCGAACGGACGAGAAGCUUGCUUCUCUGAUGUUAGCGGCGGACGGGUGAGUAACACGUGGCUAACCUACCUAUAAGACUGGGAUAACUUCGGGAAACCGGAGCUAAUACCGGAUAAUAUUUUGAACCGCAUGGUUCAAAAGUGAAAGGCGGUCUUGCUGUCACUUAUAGAUGUAUCCGCGCUGCAUUAGCUAGUUGGUAAGGUAACGGCUUACCAAGGCAACGAUGCAUAGCCGACGUGAGAGGGUGAUCGGCCACACUGGAACUGAGACACGGUCCAGACUCCUACGGGAGGCAGCAGUAGGGAAUCUUCGGCAAUGGGCGAAAGCCUGACGGAGCAACGCCGCGUGAGUGAUGAAGGUCUUCGGAUCGUAAAACUCUGUUAUUAGGGAAGAACAUAUGUGUAAGUAACUGUGCACAUCUUGACGGUACCUAAUCAGAAAGCCACGGCUAACUACGUG